UCUAGAGGCCCUAGCCGGUCUUGCAACCCUGUUCAUCGUACCUUUGUGUUGUUCCCUCGGCGCGGCUGCUCGCCGCGCCGGCGGGAAGCUCAACGAAACCUUUGCAACGCAGCAUCCAAAAUAAUAUCUCUGAUUGCGAAAAGACCUAAAUCGUCA
rnacentral:misc_RNA from 1 species